GUUAUAUUCGGAGACAUUCAAUAAAGUUUGAACGAUACAGAGAAGAUUAGCAUGGCCCCUGACCCAAAUGUUUAAUGUAACAACCCCAAAAAUAAUAUACAUGUAA